rnacentral:lncRNA from 1 species
GGGCGAGGAGGAGGAUGAUGCUGAUCGGCGCCUGACACCGGCUGCGCUGGGCAGGGCAGAAGAUACAAAGACCCAAAUUUGCUGAGAAGCUGCUGCUGUGAGACCCCAACAGCUCUUCCUGACGGCUCCGAGGGGCGAACACGAGUGUGAGCUCCUGCCUGCCACUGCGCCUGAGGCACCUGCUCUUGGUCUUCAGAGACCCCAGCGCGAGCACCGUGGGAGGAACUGAGCUGAAUAAAAGACCGUGCGCUCAGUGCCAGUGUCUAAUGGCCCCGAAGUGAAGAGCCGAGCGCUGCUCCGGCGGCAGCGCGGCCGGCCUGCCACAGAUGAACCCUCCUAACUAGCGCCGAGGGGUCGGGAGGGACGGCGAGGAGGGGAGAGCCCGAGGGGCCAGCCGGGAAGACGAGGAUAGCGGUGGAUAGCGGUGUGCGGAAGAGGACGGACCCGCGAGCAGCU